ensembl:lncRNA
GAAGAAACCCCCAAAAUAGAAAUUAAAUUUGAUGAGACCUCAUUAAAGGCAGCUUUCAAAGUUGUACUGCAGAUCAAACUUUAACCAGCCACUCCUCCUCUUCCAGUCUUCAUGGCGUCUAAUCGCCUCUGCCUCAGGCUAAAGAUGUCACCUUAAUCACAACGAGAUGAGUGACAGGUGCUUGUGCAGGAAAGUGGAAUUAACAGUAUUUCCUGCCUGGAGGUGAAAAGGUUGCUUUGAUCGACUUUUUUUUUUUUUUGGAAGGUGAUUAAGAGAGAAGAGAAGAUUAAUAACAGUCUUUUCUUUUUUAAACCUGAAAGAAUUACAUGGUCAACCAAGUUGCUUUACUUUUAAACUGCCACUGUCCUGGCGGGUCGCGAGCAUACUUUCGUGUCCUCUGGAAACCCUGGCUUUCACACCUGUUUCUCAUCAACUCAUCAAGCAUAUAACACUUGAAGACUGACUCAAAAUCUAUGGCCACAUGAUGAGUUUUAUGACAAGAACAGAAAUCCCUACGAAGUUCCUGUAAGCAAGCCACUUACCUGUUACCUCACCUGGUGGUCUGAAGAAAUUUACUUGGUGAUUUGCUUCCUAGUAUUAAUUCAGGGGACGUGUUUGGCUGUGAGCAGCAGAGUUGGGAACAGCAUCAGCAUCCAUUUAUCCACAUCAUUACCCACAUCUACCACUGCUGCCACAGACACACAGAGCUCAGUCUCCAAUCUCCAGUCCACAAGAUGACACUUUGACCUCUGGGAAGUGCUGCCAUGUGAUUACAGAAGAGCAGCAGAGGAGAGAUGCAAAGACACGGCGAACAGUUGUUGUUAAGGGCGACCUUGUGGAAGGAGCAGGAAUCAAAGCUGGACUCAAGUUUGAAGUUCGAAUGAUCAGGAGCUUGAUAUGGCACAAUGUCAAAAGGCACAAGGUUCAUUUUUUCCAUUUGUGAUUUCCCAGCAUGGACGAAUACCAAACUCCAAACUCAUUCAAACUCGGUUCUGCUCUGCUGCACUUUGACUACUCUACAGAUCUGGUAAGAUGCACGCAUUUACAUAAUAAUAGCACAUUUAGAUGGUGGAUGAACAGCAGCUGCAAACCUUUACAUUUCGAUGCCGAGUCAUU